AAACUGGGAUUAGAUACCCCACUAUGCCUAGCCAUAAACUUUGAUUAAUCCGCCAGAAUACUACGAGCAACAGCUUAAAACUCAAAGGACUUGGCGGUGCUUUAAACCCACCUAGAGGAGCCUGUUCUAUAAUCGAUAAUCCCCGAUAAACCUCACCAUCAAUUGCUAAUUCAGCCUAUAUACCACCGUCCAGCCCACCCUUUAAAGGAUAAACAGUAGGCACAACUGCAAUCACAAAAACGUCAGGUCAAGGUGUAGCUAAUAAGAUGGGAAGAAAUGGGCUACAUUUUCUAUACUAGAAAAAUACGGAAGAUCUUAUGAAACUAACUUAUGAAGGAGGAUUUAGUAGUAAAAAAGGAUAAGAGUGCCUUUUUUAACAUGGCAAUAAAGCGCGUACACACCGCCCGUCACCCU
rnacentral:rRNA from 1 species